GAACGAGAAAGUGGAGCAAUCCAUGAGUACAGUGGCGACCGGGUGAGUAACACGUGACCAACCUGCCCUCGAGUGGGGAAUAACUCCGGGAAACCGGAGCUAAUACCGCAUAACAUCGCAAGAUCAAAGCCGCAAGGCGCUUGAGGAGGGGGUCGCGGCUGAUUAGCUAGUUGGUAGGGUAAUGGCCUACCAAGGCGAAGAUCGGUAUCCGGCCUGAGAGGGCGCACGGACACACUGGAACUGAAACACGGUCCAGACUCCUACGGGAGGCAGCAGUGGGGAAUUUUGCGCAAUGGGGGAAACCCUGACGCAGCAACGCCGCGUGGAGGAUGAAGCCCUUUGGGGCGUAAACUCCUUUCGACCAAGACGAUAAUGACGGUAUUGGUGGAAGAAGCACCGGCUAACUAUGUGCCAGCAGCCGCGGUAAU
rnacentral:rRNA from 1 species